rnacentral:lncRNA from 1 species
CUUUAUAGCAACGUGAAAAGAGACUAAUACAACAAACAAUCUACUUACAAUAGAUCUGAGAAUAAAAUACCUGGGAAUAAAUUUAACCAAGAGGUGAAAGACCUGGACACUGAAAACUACAAAAAAUUGCUGGCAGAAGUUAAAGAGGAACGAAUUAAAUGACUCCUUCAGAAAUGCAACACAGAGGACUCUAGCCCAACGCAUAAUCUACACUCCAAACUGAAGUUUCUCCUUCAAACUUUGUCUGCUUUACCAUCCUGAUGAGCUUGCCUUCACAUUAACUCAAUGACCCAUGUUGCCCUGUUCACCGAAAUCCUGAAACCAACACUGAGGUAGUCCUGGAGCCUGGCUGUGGCUCUGCCCAACUUUCCUGAGCCACCUCCACUCCUUGCUACUACUGGUCACAGUGGAGAGAUACACAGAGGACAACAGGCAAGGAAAAAAGAGAGCUGAAGAUUAUCAUUAUUUCCUCACUCUUUUCAUCAAAGAUAUUAUCUCCUGGUCCUGAAAUAGUACUGCUCCUUGACACCCUCCUGAGAUACCAGACAAUAAAAAAUGUAGAUUUUAAAAAGUAACCAUCACCUUAUGCUUUAUAAUAAGCCACAAUUUUGUGCUGUUCUUAUUCUAUUAAAGACAAUCGCUACAAUAUAUAAACAUGGUUAGAAACCAUGCAAGCAAGAAAAGCAUGUGGUGAAAUAUUUAAAGAAUUGAAAGGAAAAAAAAAUCUACCUAGAAGUUUGUACCCAGUGAAAUUAUCCUCCAAAAGUGAAGGAAAAAUAAAGACUUUAUCAGAAAAAAGAAUUGAUGUAGACCUACCUUGCAAAGAAGGAUUACAAGAAGUUCUUCAGAGAGGAGGAAAAUGGUGUAGGUCAGAAACUUGGGUCUGCAUAAGCAACAGGGAGCAUCAGGAAAGAAGUUAGGUUGUCAAUAAAAGAGCCACGAGAGAGAGAGAAGAGAACUUGAAGAGACAAUAAAGGACACAAUUUGCUGCUUUCUGAAUCACUGAUGAAUCUGAGUCAGUUAAGGUAUAAAUGCUUCAAAAAUAAAUAGUAUGAAUGGCAAGAAUGGACUCUUGUUAAGUACUUUCUAAUAGUAGAAUUUGCAUUUAUUAUAAACCUGCAUCGAUGUUGCACUUUUAUCAAAAUUAAAGCCAUUAAG